AGAAAAGGUUGAGAUAAACGAGUUAAUUAAGCUGCCAGGCCUAGUCCAGCCCCGAGAGAUUCUUUAUCCUCCUUUCUGGCAGGCAGUCCAUCUCAAGUUUCCAGGAGCAGAGCACACUCACUGCAUCCCCUUUUUUUCCUGUGGUAAAGGUGUGACAGUGUCAUUCCUGAGUGGUGACAGCAAAUGACUAAGAACUGCUCAUUAUAUUUCCUUUCAAUGCCAUGUCUAAGCCAUUCUCUCUCUCUUCUUAGCAAAUCAAUGAUUGUGAUGUCUAUUACAAUAUUUGAAGGACUAAUAACAGAAGUAGUAAAACAAAGUGGAUGUGAUCAGAAUCAGACAGAUUUGGGUAGAAAUCAGGAUCUGCCAUUUACCAAGCUUAGCUCAGGCAAAUUUUAUAAUCUCUCAAAACCUCAAUUCCUUCAUCUAUCCGCUGCCAAAGUUUCAGGCCGGGCUGGGGCCGGCGCGGCUGUCGCAGCCCCCCCGCCCUCCCGCACCUGUUCGGCCCGCCGGGGUCAGUGGACGGUGCCCACCUGGUCCCCACUCACCUCUGGCGGACAUGGUGCAGGCAGCGGGAGCCGGAGCUGGAAGGCGUUGGACAGCCCCGCAGGGCGCGGGGAAGAAGGCAGCCCCGGAGCGCCCGCCCGGCCCCGGCCCCCUCCGGCUCCCGGUGCGGGGACGCCGCCCGCAGGACACCUGGCCGCCCGCUCCGCGCAGCAAGGCCGACGGGCGGGGACGCAGCGGCCGCAGGGACCCGCCGGGCGCGGCAGCGCUGACACCCGCGGCCGCGCUGGGCGGGGCGCGCCUCCCCCGCCCCGAGCCGCCGGGGCCCACCCGGGUCCAGCAGCCGCUCUGCCGCGGCGCCGGGCGGGGCUCUGUCCCCGAGGAACGAGGGUCUGCGUCCUCCCCUCUCCCCGCCCGUCUUCUUAAUAAGAAGAAAAAUAACGUGGGUGCUCCGAAUGGCUCUCCAGCUCUCUGGUCCCAGAGAGAGAAAGCAAGAAAGGGCCGUUCGUUCCUUCCCCUAAGUGAUGCCCUUGACAGGAGAG
rnacentral:lncRNA from 1 species